UUUUCCCCUUAUUUUCUCCUUCACAGAUGGAAGUCUGCUUCAACAUGUCUCAGUUUUGAUGGCACUGUCACAUGGAGAAAAAACUUGAUAAUUUACUGCAGAGAAUCUAUGUGAUGAAAUUUCUCAGACAUCUCUCACGGUCCUGCCUAAGGGAGAAAGGAAGAAGGAAUAAAACAGAAAAAACUUGAAAAUUUUUCCAAAGAUAAAAACCAAUAGGGUAUUUAUUACAGUAAAAAUGCAGCAGGAUGAACAGGAGGAUAACUCUGGAACAACUUGCAGAAAGCUCUAGUGAUGUUUGUCCUUUGGAAUACAGAGAAAACCAGCUACAGCCUGAAAAUGACUUUUUUUUGCACCUUUCUGCUGCCUCUGUCUCUUCCAGCUGUCACAGUGGAAGAUACCCACUCUGGGAAGCUUUAUGGCUCUCCUCUCCUGAUAAACAUGAGAAACUUGAUGCAUGGGAAAAUGGGACUUGAUGAUAGCUUGACACUUUCACACCUUGAGACUCAAACUCAGAUCUGUCAGAGGCGCAUGCUAUGAAUAUGCUGAUGAAACAUAACCCACACAGAACACACCACAACCCUUGUUAAGAGGCUCUGUAUUUGUCUACUACAAGCUAUUCUUUCAUCCAACCCAUCCUGAAUUGCAUCAAAGAGUUCUAUUAAAAGGUUCUGACCACAUCAUAAGGACAACAUGGAGCAGAUGAUUUGACGCGUGAGAAUAUGACAACACCUAAAACCUCCUGCCGUGUUCCUGGCCCCGAGACAGCAUUUACAGUGCUGACACUUGCAUCUCCCACAGACUCUACCAGCACUUCAGGCUUCAUAGUGACAGCUCUCCAUUUGCAGCUUUGAGGUCAUCCUGAAAUCUUCAGCUCACCUGACGUACACACAGUUAGCUGCGUUACUUGUUCAGCUAGAAAGGCUAUCCAGUAGUCACCAGUAACUGAUGCUUGCCAGCAGUUAUUUAAAUUCAGCUGUCAGACACAAUCAAAAGUAAUUGAUAGAAAGCUACUUCAUUUUAAUUCCUCUGUUUCUACCAUUUAACAUUCUUAUGUGGAGUUGGGUUUUGGUCUGGAGCAGUGCAGUAAUGUGAGUUGAUAGCAAACUGGGGAUGAGCCAGAAAGUGAAUGCUUAACCCAGAACCAGCACCUCUGGGAGCAAAGACUUCAAGAAUCAGAUGUUUUGCAUUUGCAUUGCUUCCAACUUCAUAUUGGAGGAUGGAGAGAGAUGAUGGAAACCAUCAAUAAGAUCAAUUUUAAUUUAUUCUUUAACAUUUCUCUUUCCACACUUUAUUCAGUUGGGAAUUUCAAACAAAAUCUAGGACUGUGUUCUUAGCCUCACAAGCUGCAGACUAAAAAGUUAAUAAAAUGUAGCUCUAAUUUUAGAAGUAUCAGUUUAUUUGGAAUCUGUUUGACAAUGAGGCUAGGAAGCUACAACUGGAACAAACCUGAAACAGAGAGCAAUGAUGCUUUCAGUUUUCUGUGUGUGUGACUUGAGAUUUCGGGGCUGCCAAAUUUCACGCAUUCCCACAGCUUAACAGUCACCAUUGAGCCAGACAUUAGGGAUUGAUCAUCGGGAGAUUGCCUGGUUCUUGCCCAAUUUUAUCUGAGAUAUGGUUUCUGUCAUAUUUUUAAUAGCAUCUGUCCCUUGGGACACUAUUUUCUCUGAGAUUUUGCUGUCCACAUUGUAGGCAAGAAACAUCUUGUAACCUCACUUGGACAUAUUUCUUUUUCCCCUCUGUAAUUUAAACCAGAAACCCUUUGAUAAUGAAAAAAAUGAGCUUGCUUUUAGUGCAUGAAAACAUAAUAGAAAAACAAUAUUCUUGUUUACAUAAUACUUUUGUCCAUUUGAGUCCCUUGCUCUGUGCAGUUCUGCAGAUGAAGAAAUAUUGAACUGUUUGUUAUUUGUAUUGUUGUGGCACCUAAGAGUGACAGUUCUUGAUUCCAUUAUUCUUCAUUGCAUUGAGAGGAUGCUAAGAUGUCUCUAAGAGCUUGAUUGAGAAACCUGGAGAAAUGAGAAUAACAUGCUGAUUGGAUAAAGAAGGGAAUGUCACAACUUACCCAUUUCUUAACUACUGUUUAGAUUUUGGUUUCAAGGAAUUUAAUGAAGUAAUUUUUGGAUGUUUACUGGGAGAUCCUUUAAACAGAAGUUAAACAGAAGUACGAAUCAGGCAUCAGAACACUUUUGUAAUUCCAUCAUUAGGAUUCAGAUUAUUUGUCUAACAUAAGAACCACUUAAUGCUUUCUAAAAUCCAUGGUAUAGCAAUGAAGAAACCAAUUUAGACAUGUGCAAUUGAAUGUAAAGAGUAUUUCAUUGCACACUUGUAGCUCUGUGCCUUGCUCUGUGUAGCCCACAAAGGAGAAGUGCUCCAGGGAGGCAAAGUACCCCUGCUGAAUGUGUAAAACCAGCUUGAAGUAGAAAGCAUGACUAACAUUUGUAAAAACUCAUCCUAAAGAAUAUUGAUAAAUACUGAAAUUUUCCACACAUUACUCUUUCAAAUCUUUCUAGGAAUAUCUCACUAGAAUAUUUAUAUUAUGUUAAACAGUUUAAAAAUAAAGCCAUUUCUAAACCAAAUGAAACUAUUUAGCUUACCUGGAAUAUAUAUAUUAAAGUGAUUCCACAUGAUUUAGCAAAGAUCUUAGCAAGUGUGUUAUUGUAGUCAUCACUUCUGUUCAUAGCUAUUUUUUAGGUUGUAUCUAGGGGCCUGUUUUCUGCUGUCUUCUUUCAGACAUCUAUUUUGGCUGAUUUAAAUGUGAGGAUGGAAAAAAAAUCAGUAU